rnacentral:rRNA from 1 species
AGUGAACGCUGGCGGUAGGCCUAACACAUGCAAGUCGAACGGCAGCACAGUAAGAGCUUGCUCUUACGGGUGGCGAGUGGCGGACGGGUGAGGAAUACAGCGGAAUCUACUUUUUCGUGGGGGAUCACGUAGGGAGACUUACGCUAAUACCGCAUACGACCUACGGGUGAAAGCAGGGGAUCUUCGGACCUUGCGCGAUUGAAUGAGCCGAUGUCGGAUUAGCUAGUUGGGGGGGUAAAGGCCCACCAAGGCGACGAUCCGUAGCUGGUCUGAGAGGAUGAUCCGCCACACUGGAACUGAGACACGGCCCAGACUCCUACGGGAGGCAGCAGUGGGGAAUAUUGGACAAAGGGCGCAAGCCUGAUCCAGCCAUACCGCGUGGGUGAAGAAGGCCUUCGGGUUGUAAAGCCCUUUUGUUGGGAAAGAAAAGCAUCAGGUUAAUACCCCGCUGUUCUGACGGUACCCAAAGAAUAAGCACCGGCUAACUUCGUG